GAUUAAGUUAUUAAGGGCGCACGGUGGAUGCCUUGGCACUAGAAGCCGAUGAAGGACGUUACUAACGACGAUAUGCUUUGGGGAGCUGUAAGUAAGCUUUGAUCCAGAGAUUUCCGAAUGGGGAAACCCAGCAUGAGUUAUGUCAUGUUAUCGAUAUGUGAAUACAUAGCAUAUCAGAAGGCACACCCGGAGAACUGAAACAUCUUAGUACCCGGAGGAAGAGAAAGAAAAUUCGAUUCCCUUAGUAGCGGCGAGCGAAACGGGAAGAGCCCAAACCAACAAGCUUGCUUGUUGGGGUUGUAGGACACUCUAUACGGAGUUACAAAGGACGACAUUAGACGAAUCAUCUGGAAAGAUGAAUCAAAGAAGGUAAUAAUCCUGUAGUCGAAAAUGUUGUCUCUCUUGAGUGGAUCCUGAGUACGACGGAGCACGUGAAAUUCCGUCGGAAUCUGGGAGGACCAUCUCCUAAGGCUAAAUACUCUCUAGUGACCGAUAGUGAACCAGUACCGUGAGGGAAAGGUGAAAAGCACCCCGGAAGGGGAGUGAAAUAGAACCUGAAACCGUGUGCUUACAAGUAGUCAGAGCCCGUUAAUGGGUGAUGGCGUGCCUUUUGUAGAAUGAACCGGCGAGUUACGAUUUGAUGCAAGGUUAAGCAGUAAAUGUGGAGCCGUAGCGAAAGCGAGUCUGAAUAGGGCGUUUAGUAUUUGGUCGUAGACCCGAAACCAGGUGAUCUACCCUUGGUCAGGUUGAAGUUCAGGUAACACUGAAUGGAGGACCGAACCGACUUACGUUGAAAAGUGAGCGGAUGAACUGAGGGUAGCGGAGAAAUUCCAAUCGAACCUGGAGAUAGCUGGUUCUCUCCGAAAUAGCUUUAGGGCUAGCCUCAAGUGAUGAUUAUUGGAGGUAGAGCACUGUUUGGACGAGGGGCCCCUCUCGGGUUACCGAAUUCAGACAAACUCCGAAUGCCAAUUAAUUUAACUUGGGAGUCAGAACAUGGGUGAUAAGGUCCGUGUUCGAAAGGGAAACAGCCCAGACCACCAGCUAAGGUCCCAAAAUAUAUGUUAAGUGGAAAAGGAUGUGGCGUUGCCCAGACAACUAGGAUGUUGGCUUAGAAGCAGCCAUCAUUUAAAGAGUGCGUAAUAGCUCACUAGUCGAGUGACACUGCGCCGAAAAUGUACCGGGGCUAAACAUAUUACCGAAGCUGUGGAUUGUCCUUUGGACAAUGGUAGGAGAGCGUUCUAAGGGCGUUGAAGCAUGAUCGUAAGGACAUGUGGAGCGCUUAGAAGUGAGAAUGCCGGUGUGAGUAGCGAAAGACGGGUGAGAAUCCCGUCCACCGAUUGACUAAGGUUUCCAGAGGAAGGCUCGUCCGCUCUGGGUUAGUCGGGUCCUAAGCUGAGGCCGACAGGCGUAGGCGAUGGAUAACAGGUUGAUAUUCCUGUACCACCUAUAAUCGUUUUAAUCGAUGGGGGGACGCAGUAGGAUAGGCGAAGCGUGCGAUUGGAUUGCACGUCUAAGCAGUAAGGCUGAGUAUUAGGCAAAUCCGGUACUCGUUAAGGCUGAGCUGUGAUGGGGAGAAGACAUUGUGUCUUCGAGUCGUUGAUUUCACACUGCCGAGAAAAGCCUCUAGAUAGAAAAUAGGUGCCCGUACCGCAAACCGACACAGGUAGUCAAGAUGAGAAUUCUAAGGUGAGCGAGCGAACUCUCGUUAAGGAACUCGGCAAAAUGACCCCGUAACUUCGGGAGAAGGGGUGCUCUUUAGGGUUAACGCCCAGAAGAGCCGCAGUGAAUAGGCCCAAGCGACUGUUUAUCAAAAACACAGGUCUCUGCUAAACCGUAAGGUGAUGUAUAGGGGCUGACGCCUGCCCGGUGCUGGAAGGUUAAGAGGAGUGGUUAGCUUCUGCGAAGCUACGAAUCGAAGCCCCAGUAAACGGCGGCCGUAACUAUAACGGUCCUAAGGUAGCGAAAUUCCUUGUCGGGUAAGUUCCGACCCGCACGAAAGGCGUAACGAUUUGGGCACUGUCUCAACGAGAGACUCGGUGAAAUCAUAGUACCUGUGAAGAUGCAGGUUACCCGCGACAGGACGGAAAGACCCCGUGGAGCUUUACUGUAGCCUGAUAUUGAAAUUCGGCACAGCUUGUACAGGAUAGGUAGGAGCCUUUGAAACGUGAGCGCUAGCUUACGUGGAGGCGCUGGUGGGAUACUACCCUAGCUGUGUUGGCUUUCUAACCCGCACCACUUAUCGUGGUGGGAGACAGUGUCAGGUGGGCAGUUUGACUGGGGCGGUCGCCUCCUAAAAGGUAACGGAGGCGCUCAAAGGUUCCCUCAGAAUGGUUGGAAAUCAUUCAUAGAGUGUAAAGGCAUAAGGGAGCUUGACUGCGAGACCUACAAGUCGAGCAGGGUCGAAAGACGGACUUAGUGAUCCGGUGGUUCCGCAUGGAAGGGCCAUCGCUCAACGGAUAAAAGCUACCCCGGGGAUAACAGGCUUAUCUCCCCCAAGAGUUCACAUCGACGGGGAGGUUUGGCACCUCGAUGUCGGCUCAUCGCAUCCUGGGGCUGUAGUCGGUCCCAAGGGUUGGGCUGUUCGCCCAUUAAAGCGGUACGCGAGCUGGGUUCAGAACGUCGUGAGACAGUUCGGUCCCUAUCCGUCGUGGGCGUAGGAAAUUUGAGAGGAGCUGUCCUUAGUACGAGAGGACCGGGAUGGACAUACCUCUGGUGUACCAGUUGUCGUGCCAACGGCAUAGCUGGGUAGCUAUGUGUGGACGGGAUAAGUGCUGAAAGCAUCUAAGCAUGAAGCCCCCCUCAAGAUGAGAUUUCCCAACUUCGGUUAUAAGAUCCCUCAAAGAUGAUGAGGUUAAUAGGUUCGAGGUGGAAGCAUGGUGACAUGUGGAGCUGACGAAUACUAAUCGAUCGAAGACUUAAUCAA
rnacentral:rRNA from 1 species